GUGCCAGCAGCCGCGGUAAUACAGAGGGUGCGAGCGUUGUUCGGAAUUACUGGGCGUAAAGCGCGUGUAGGCGGUUUCGCAAGUCAGGUGUGAAAUCCCGGGGCUCAACUCCGGAAGUGCACUUGAAACUACGAGGCUUGAGUAUGGUAGAGGAUGGCGGAAUACCCAGUGUAGAGGUGAAAUUCGUAGAUAUUGGGUAGAACACCGGUGGCGAAGGCGGCCAUCUGGGCCAUAACUGACGCUGAGACGCGAAAGCGUGGGGAUCAAACAGGAUUAGAUACCCCGGUAGUCC
rnacentral:rRNA from 1 species